GACGAACGCUGGCGGCAUGCCUAAUACAUGCAAAUCGAGCGAACAGAUGAAGUGCUUGCACUUCUGACGUUAGCGGCGAACGGGCGAGUAACACGUAAGGAAUCUACCUAUAAGCGGGGGAUAACAUUCGGAAACGGGUGCUAAUACCGCAUAAUAUCUUCUUCCGCAUGGAAGAAGAUUGAAAGACGGCUCUGCUGUCACUUAUAGAUGACCUUGCGGUGCAUUAGUUAGUUGGUGGGGUAACGGCCUACCAAGACGAUGAUGCAUAGCCGACCUGAGAGGGUGAUCGGCCACAUUGGGACUGAGACACGGCCCUAACUCCUACGGGAGGCAGCAGUAGGGAAUCUUCCGCAAUGGGCGAAAGCCUGACGGGGCAAUGCCGCGUGAGUGAAGAAGGCCUUCGGGUCGUAAAACUCUGUUAUAAGAGAAGAACAAAUUGUAGAGUAACUGCUACAGUCUUGACGGUAUCUUAUCAGAAAGCCACGGCUAACUACGUGCCAGCCGCCGCAGUAA
rnacentral:rRNA from 1 species